UCCUUUCUAGGAACAUGAUGUGUGCUGUGCCCCCUCUUCUGCUCUAUAGGUUCCUGUCCAGGCCAAGACACAAAAGAGCGUGUGUAGCGUGGUUACGUUUCUGUGGCGUUUGAAAACAGGGGGAAACGAACCCCAGUGGCAGAAGUCAGGAGCGAGGUUAUGCCUGGGCUAAACAGAAGCUCACUGGCGUGGAGACUUGUCGACCCCCCCCCCCCCACAGCCCUCCAUCCCCGACACACACACCCAUUUCCUGGACUGUGUGAUCUGAUUUUCUUGCUAUUAAAAAUUCACGGUCCGUGGCUGAGAACAGCA